GACGAACGCUGGCGGCGUGCUUAACACAUGCAAGUCGAGCGGUAAGGCCCUCUCGGGGGUACACGAGCGGCGAACGGGUGAGUAACACGUGGGUGACCUGCCCUCAGCUCUGGGAUAAGCCUGGGAAACUGGGUCUAAUACUGGAUAUGACUCCAAGGUGCAUGUCGUGGGGUGGAAAGCCUUGUGCGGCUGAGGAUGGGCCCGCGGCCUAUCAGCUUGUUGGUGGGGNGAUGGCCUACCAAGGCGACGACGGGUAGCCGGCCUGAGAGGGCGACCGGCCACACUGGGACUGAGACACGGCCCAGACUCCUACGGGAGGCAGCAGUGGGGAAUCUUGCGCAAUGGGCGAAAGCCUGACGCAGCGACGCCGCGUGAGGGAUGACGGCCU
rnacentral:rRNA from 1 species